CAGUUCGGACUGUAGGCUGCAACUCGCCUACACGAAGCUGGAAUCGCUAGUAAUCGCGGAUCAGCACGCCGCGGUGAAUACGUUCCCGGGCCUUGUACACACCGCCCGUCACACCAUGAGAGUCUGUAACACCCAAAGCCGGUGGGAUAACCUUUAUAGGAGUCAGCCGUCUAAGGUAGGACAGAUGAUUAGGGUGAAGUCGUAACAAGGUACC
rnacentral:rRNA from 1 species